CUCAAACAGUCGCCUCAUCUGAUGUGAAGGAGAGCCGGAAGUUUCCUGACUUGUCCAGGCGCGUCUGAAUGGUCUGAAGCGACGUCUCGGUGGGUUUAGGGAUUAAACAGACGAUGGAGAGGCUGGUGCUCACACAUCUUAGUCCCAUGGUCAGCCAGUCAAUGGACCCGCUGCAGUUCGCCUACCAGCCCGGUAUCAGAGUUGAGGAUGCUGUCAUCUUCCUCCUGGACAGAGCUCUGUCACACCUGGACCAGACAGGGAGCUCUGUGAGAGUCAUGUUUUUCGACUUCUCCAGCGCUUUCAACAACAUUCAACUGCUGCUGCUGAGGGACAAGUUGGCGCACUGGGCGUGGACCAGCAUCUGUCUGCAUGGAUGCUGGACUACCUCUCAAACUGACUGCAGUAUGUGAGGUCUCGCCACUGUGAGUCUGACAUGAUCGUCUGUAACACAGGAGCACCGCAGGGAACAGUUCUUGCUCCGUUCCUGUUCACUGUCUACACCGCAGACUUCAUGUCCAGCUCAGCAUCUUGUCACCUACAGAAGUUCUUGGAUGACUCUGCCGUUGUCGGACUAAUCAUGGAUGACAAUGACAGAGAGUAUAAAGAACUGAUUCAGACCUUUGUAGACUGGUGCCAGCGGAACCUCCAGAUUAAUGCAGGGAAAACCAAGGAGCUGGUGGUAGACUUUCGCAGGCACACUCACUCUACAUUAGCACCGGUGAACAUCCAAGGAAGGGACAUUGAGAGAGUAGAUUCGUACAAGUACUUGGGUGUUCACAUCAACAAUAAACUGGACUGGUCACACAAUACAGAAGCACUGUACAAAAAAGCACAGAGCAGGCUUUAUCUGCUGAGGAGACUGAGGUCUUUUGAGUGUAGGGAUCACUCCUAAAUACUUUUGAUGACUCUGUGGUGGCAUCAGCCAUCUUUUAUGGAGCGGUCUGCUGGCGCAGCGGCAUCUCGGCAGCAGACAGGAAGCGGCUGGAGAAGCUGGUGAAGAAGGCCAGCUUGGUUCUGGGGCUGCCUUUGGACUCAAUGCCUCAAUGCAGGAAGUGAUGGAGAACGCCCACCCCAUGUAUGAGUCUGUGUCCUCACUGUGCAGUUUCUUCAGCAUCAGACUGAUACAUCCUAAGUGUCUGAAGGAGCGACACCGCAGAUCGUUUCUACCUGCUGCGGUUAGACUGUACAACCUUAGCUGCUCCCAGUGACCCACACUAACCAAUAUCAUUGGCUCUGUCUUAUUUUUUUUACCCUGUGCAAUAACCGAUUAUAUGGUCAUCCUGUGCAAUUUUUUUGGAAAUAUACGUGUGUAUAUUAUGUAUAUAUCUGUGUAUAUUGACUCCAUAGUUUUUCUUUUUCCUUAUUUAUCGUACCUGUACUGCUGCUGCAACAAGGAAAUUUCCCCAUCGUGGGACUAAUAAAGGAAUAUCUUAUCUUA